CAUAUAUCUCAUAUAACUUACAAUAUAUAUAUAUUAUGUUUUUAGAUAUAACUUGAACAGGAUAUCUAUGUGUAAUACGCCAAUUCUGGACAAUGCAUAAGCAUGAGUUAACGGGAAUUAAAUGUAGAGAAAACAGAAUGUCCUUGGAACUUUCUGCUCCCUAUUGUGGAAUUCUGAACCCUGAUGUUUACUCUGGACUUCUCAUCAUGUGGAUUUUAUCAUGAUUGAGUAGGCUGAAGAUUCACUAGAUUAGAAUGUCGUUCAGUUAAUUUGUUGUGAUCUACUGCAUCUUUCUGGUCAUUCCACUGAUUAUUAAUUGAUCAGUAUGCUAGGGAUAGUUAUACCAGCAUGAUUAUCACAUGUAUUAAAGUAUUGAUUUUUGUCUCUUUUUUUCCUCUUUAGCUCCAUGAAACCCUCUGUGAUUACCUUCCCUUCUCCCUUCUCCCUUCUCCGCAGUCCUAACAGAAACUAAGGUAAUAGGUUGCUGAGGGAGUGUUAUCUGCAGCUUGCUAACUUGUUUUUAUUGGUUUUACUGAUCUAGAAAAGCCUCAAUAAUAAUUUUGUCAGACCAAAAAUGACACAAGUCUCUGAAUCAUGAAGGAAUGCAAUUGAUGCUUCACUGUAGGUGUAGAUUUCUGAACUUAUCAUGUUCAAUUUGUUUAUGGGAUAAAAAUCACGUGUGGUUCCUUUCUUUUUACUUUUGGUCGAAUUAAACUGUUCGCUUUAAAUUGAGUUUGAUCAACCCUUCUAUUUUCUAAUAUUGGUGAUCUGAGCACCUUUAUCCAAUUAUUAUGAAUGCCACAUGUUAUAAUUUGCUUGUAUGGAUGAUUCGAAUAACCUUUUGUUGGAAGCUAAUUGGUUAAUUUGAUCCAUUAUAAAGUAGAGAGUUGAUUUGGCCAAAUGUGAAAAGUAGAAAGGACCAUACAUGUUUUUUUUUUUUUUUUUUUAAGCCAAUAAGCCUGAUAUUUUUUUUUGCAUAUUGCAGCUCUAGUUAUAUUGGCUUUUGACAUAUGCAUUAUGCUUUGAGGGAUGAAGGGGUGAUCUUUUGUUCCCUUUUUUCUGUGUUUUUUCGGUUUUCAUGCUCUUGAAGUUAAUGCUUGCUUUCUAUCCCCAGAUCCUAGCGUAUUUGCAAAGAGAAGGCCUUGUAAUACUACCUGUCUCUGCCAACAUUUCCCCAAACAAACCUUGUCUAGCUUUCUGGUUAUAAUAGGUGCCUGUUAGAACUCUACUUACCGAUCCUAAUGAACAUGGAGGUUGAGUUCAUGGAUGGGGGAAGACAUUUAUUGGGGAAGAACAGGUUUGUGAAUGGGUUGGUUCAAAGUGGUUGUUGCUUACCUUGCAACUUUAAUUAAAGAAAUAAAACAUACAUUUUCAUAAAGAGAGCAUGCUGUGUCCUUACAACUUACUGGUUGGUUGCGUACUCUGUUGUCAUGACUCUCAAGUAAUGAUGCAAGGUCAUCACAUAGAAGAUUUGUCUAUGACAUUUGAUUGUCACUGACAAAAAAUGUUAUGGCAGUAAAUUCAGUUGAUUGUGAAACUUGUGACUAGGUUUAUUGAACUGGACAAUGUUAAUCUACUAUUGUCUCAAAGCUAUUGAACAUGCAGGUGAUUUCUCAUUUAAUACAUUAGAUGUUUUCAUUCCAGCUAACUGUGGCCUCAAAACAACUUGGUAAUAAAUGUUAACUGGUCAUUUCUGUGGAAUACGGCAAUACUUAAAUGUGCUUUGACCUGGGUUACUUUCAUUGUAAUCAUAUUGGUAUAAAUUGGUGGUGUUUAGUGCUAUUUUGGAGUUGAA